GCGAAGGUGGCGGAAUUGGUAGACGCGCUAGCUUCAGGUGUUAGUGCCCCCCGGGUGUGAGGGUUCGA
rnacentral:tRNA from 1 species